GUCCAGGGCCUGCCUGUAUGCGGACCCAGAGGAGUUUAAUUCCGUGUGGCGCAGGACUGGGCUUGAGAUUUGGGAGGAGCUGAAGCUCACUCCGAUGCUCUUCCUCACCCCGAUUGUCAUCUAUCAUUUUGAUCCCACUGGUUUCUCAGCGGCUGGGUUUUGAGUUUCACUCCCUCUCUGUGUGUGCCGGCUGCCUGAGGGUGUCACACCACAAAGCUCCUUCUCAGGGCUGUUGGAACAAGGAACACUCACUCCAUCUUACCCCCACUCCCGGGAGGCCUUUGAGGAGCAAGUUUGAAACACUCUGCAUCCCAAACGCCUGGUAGAAGGGCAGAUUUUUGGAGGAAGACUUUUCAGUUUGAUGGUCUCCAACCACCGAGUGCCAGCAGUGUUGCCCCCACUUCCAGUGACAACCACAAACUCCCCUAUUACUGGGUUCUCUGUAAGCUUAGGUCCAUCCCACCUGAGAACAGCAAACUGACCUGAACAGCCCUCUGGCUUGGAGAGGGGACAGGAUGGGUUUCUGCACAAUUCCCAGGAGCAGGAAUGCCAUCAUCUCAAAGAUGCACAUCCUUUCCUUGAUAACCUUCCCCCUGCAGGUUUUCAUGUCACUUGGAGAGUGGCAAGUGCUGUAGACCCUGGAAGUUGACUGCAAGGAGGGUCUCUCUUCCCGUUUCUGAAGUCCUUGAGUUGCAGGUUUGAACAGGAAAGAAAAAGGGAAAAGGCCCUGGAGGCUCCAAGCAUUUGAGGACCACGCUGGCGGUUCCUCCCACACCGCUGGAAUUGCAGGGGGAGACCCAAACAAAGGUCAAUACCAAGUUGGGCUGAGGGACUGCAGCUGCAGGUGAACCUGGCCAGGGCUCAAGACUGAUUGUGAGUUUUCGGCGGACACAACAGCUUUAUUUGGUGCUGAGUUUCGAACCCAGGCCGCACGCAUGCCAGGCGAGCGCGCUACCGCUUGAGCCACAUCCUCAGCCCGGCAGAGAGUAUUUCAGGCAUGAAAAUGAAAAUGAGCUGGGUGACUGAUGAGUGACAGAGCAAUGAGAGGGCUCAGGCCAGGAGGAGAGGAUGGAGGUCUGACAGAACUUCAAAUGUCCCCUGGUUCUUUUAUGAUCCCUCAGUCAGGCCAAAGGCAAGCAUUUUAAGAAAUAAUUCACGGUCUAUAACUUAAUCCAUAUCACCACUUGCAGAGACAACAGGAGGAGUGCUGGCUCAGCCUUGGGGACUCUCUCUGCAUCCCACCUCCAGCUGCCCUGCAGGAGCAAACAGGAGGGGCCAGUCCUUCCCUGAUGGAGGCAUCCUUAGGGGGAUCAGGAGGCUCUCUCUUCUAUUGAUUUAGUCUAGCCUCACUUCUUCCAAGAAGGCACUAAUUUGUUAUUGUCCCACUCCCAUCCCCACACAUCAUAUCUUGGGUGGAAAAAUUAUUUGCUACUUGA